rnacentral:lncRNA from 1 species
AAACCACUGCCGCCCGUAGCUCAGCCUUAGCGCCUCUGUCUGUAGAGGCCUUUCCUAACUCCACCCCAAGUGCUCAAGCAUACUCACAUGCCGCAGUAUGUGCACACACACUCACACAUACGCAGACAGACAUGUUUCCCAUUCCUGUUCACUUUUACAUACAGCUUUCACAAGUGCACACACUCCUUCAUAUACACAAAGCACACGCCUAAAAUUGUGUCUGCUCACAGACAUGGAACAGCCUCCACACCCAGCUUCCUUCCUGGGUGUCAUUUAAAGUGUGUGGCUCGUGCCUAUGGGCAGGGCGUAGGUUACCUGGUACAUAGUCAGCAUUUAGUAAACAUUGAGUCAAUUGAUAUCUCUGUUCAGUUGCCUUCCUGACCGAUUUUAUUUAGCACACUAGCACCCCACCCCCCCAAAUAUAUUCAAUAAGUUAGGCACCGAGCUCAUCACAGAAUUUAGCCUUUUCUCACUGAAAUUGUGCUUGAACCACCGUGGAGCCAUCUCUGGGAUAGCACAAACCCUUUAAAAUCCACCCACGUUGUCCACCGCCCUGACCGUAUCUAUUGUUAAAGAGCUUACAUUUUAAUAGAAACCAGAAGAAACACUUCCAGUUGUCUGCCUGCAUGAAACCCACUUUGAAUAAUUUCCAGUUUGUCAGAAAUAAUUUGGGGAAAUGGAAAUCUCAGGGUCCUUCUGCCUCGAGGUUAACCCAGCUGCCAUUCUCUCUGUAAGUCUGUAAUGAGUUCCUACAUGUCAGAGACCCAGAGUGCAUUUAUCCCUGAGUCCGUGUGGAGCAGAAUUUCAUUAGUGCUUGAUUGUGAACCUGAGAGCCCUGGGCUGCCA